ensembl:lncRNA
CAAACAUUCAAAAAGACAACUUUAUUUUUUAAAUUCAGUUUUCUGCCUAUUUUCAUCUUAUAAGCUGAUAAGAUAAUCUUUUUUUUAUCAGUUUAUUCAGACACGCUGUUUAUCAGGUGUAGGAGCAUUGUUGCUCACUAGGGGGCGCCUCUGACAUAAUAUAUUUCUUUUCAUGUGGAUUUUCAAAAUAAGAUCUGAGCUGGACUUUGAUGGAUUUAGUCUAAAAUUAGUUCAUUUAAAAAAAUGUAGGUGAAAAUUAAUUAGCAACAGUGAUUAAUUCAUAGUUGAAUCCUUCAACUACAGAUGUGCGAUAAAAAUAUUAAUUCAAUCUGUGACACUGAUGCGGAAGUGACGAAGCAGAGUGACCUUUUUUUUUUUUAAGUAUUUUUUUUUAAUGUGGAAAAAUACUUUAACUCUCAAUGCUACAAACUAUUAACCAUCAAAAGUUAACUUAAAAUGACGGAUUAUCAAAACAAAAGUAGGAACGUGGCGGAGGUUUUACGCACACCUGAAGGCCCUCUCCUCUUCACGCACACCUGCGUGCUGUUAGAAACCGCAUUUCCCGCACAGCAGCGUCAUGUUUAGACGCUCGAAUAAUGGUUGGAAUAGCAGCUGGAAACAUCAGAGGACGGACGAGAGUCUCUUUAUUUGAUGAAAGAGGAGACAUUUAUGCUCUGAGCUUGACUCCUGCUGGAAACUUUAAUUUUUUCCUCUUCAUCCGGGUUAUUCCAUGGAUGUUUAUGGAUCUGCUGGACCUCAAACAGUCUGAACAUCAUGAGUCAAAGAGGAGAGGCUCCAGCAGACUCGCCUGCCCCUCAGCUCUGCUCAGACAGACUUCCUGCGGGGCGGCAGAUGACCCGCCACAUAUCUGCUGCUGCGAGCACCAACCUAUAUCAGCCCAGAUUUUUCUAGAUAACUUGAUAUAUUUUUUCUUCAACUGGAGAGCUGGAGCAGAACUGGACCAUUUUUUUAUAUACAUUUUUUUUCUAGAGGACGUGUUUUCAUCCGGCGUUCAUCUUGUAAGUCUUUACUUCUUUAUUUUUUUUUUAAUAAAUCAGGAAUAAAUGUCUGUGUUUUAUAACGAAAUGCUGAAUUUUCCCACAAU